GACGAACGCUGGCGGCAGGCUUAACACAUGCAAGUCGCACGAGAACGCUCGGGCUUUGCCGGGGCAAGUACAGUGGCGGACGGGUGCGUAUCGCGUAGAUAACCUGCCCUCAGGCGCGGGACAAUCGCGGGAAACCGCGGCUAAUACCGCACGACGUCCAGGCCCCGCAUGGGGGCUGGAUGAAACCUUGGUUUUGCCGAGGGCCUUUGGAUGGGUCUGCGUCGGAUUAGCUUGUUGGUGAGGUAACGGCUCACCAAGGUAACGAUCCGUAGCUGGUCUGAGAGGACGAUCAGUCACACUGGGACUGAGACACGGCCCAGACUCCUACGGGAGGCAGCAGUGGGGAAUCUUGCACAAUGGGGUCACCCCUGAUGCAGCCAUGCCGCGUGGAGGAAGACACCCCUAUGGGGCGUAAACUCCUUUUCUGAGAGAAGAACCCCCUGUAGGUUCAGGGUGUGACGGUAUCUCAGGAAUAAGCACCGGCUAACUCCGUGCCAGCAGCCGCGGUAAUACGGAGGGUGCAAGCGUUGUCCGGAAUCACUGGGCGUAAAGGGUGCGCAGGCGGGGCAGCAAGUCGGAGGUGAAAGCCCGUGGCUCAACCACGGAAGCGCCUUCGAAACUGUUGCUCUUGAGUCCCGGAGAGGUUGCCGGAAUUCGUGGUGUAGCGGUGAAAUGCGUAGAUAUCACGAGGAACACCAGAGGCGAAAGCGGGCAACUGGACGGGUACUGACGCUCAGGCACGAAAGCGCGGGGAGCAAACAGGAUUAGAUACCCUGGUAGUCCGCGCCGUAAACGAUGAAUGCUCGCCGUUAUUCCGCCUAAGGAAUAGUGGCUAAGCUAACGCGUUAAGCAUUCCGCCUGGGGAGUACGAUCGCAAGGUUGAAACUCAAAGGAAUUGACGGGGGCCCGCACAAGCGGAGGAGCAUGUGGUUUAAUUCGAUGAUACGCGAGGAACCUUACCCGGGCUAUAAUGCCUGUGACAGCUCUGGAAACAGAGUCUUCCUUCGGGACACAGUGCAAGGUGCUGCAUGGCUGUCGUCAGCUCGUGCCGUGAGGUGUUGGGUUAAGUCCCUUAACGAGCGCAACCCCUAUCUUUAGUUGCCAGCACUUUUAGGUGGGCACUCUAAAGAAACUGCCUACGUAAGUAGAGAGGAAGGAGGGGAUGACGUCAAGUCAUCAUGGCCCUUAUGCCCGGGGCUACACACAUGCUACAAUGGUGGGUACAGAGGGAAGCCACUUGGCAACAAGGAGCUAAUCCCAAAAGCCCAUCACAGUUCGGAUUGGAGUCUGCAACUCGACUCCAUGAAGCUGGAUUCGCUAGUAAUCGUGGAUCAGCAACGUCACGGUGAAUACGUUCCCGGGCCUUGUACACACCGCCCGUCAAGCCAUGGAAGUCGGGAGUACCUGAAGCCAGUAACCGUACAGGAGCUGGUGAGGGUAAGCCUGGCAACUGGGGCU
rnacentral:rRNA from 1 species